CGGAGGGUGCAAGCGUUAUCCGGAUUCACUGGGUUUAAAGGGUGCGUAGGCGGGCAGGUAAAUCAGUGGUGAAAUCUUUGGGCUUAACCCGAAAACUGCCAUUGAUACUAUCUGUUUUGAAUAUUGUGGAGGUUAGCGGAAUAUGUCAUGUAGCGGUGAAAUGCUUAGAUAUGACAUAGAACACCUAUUGCGAAGGCAGCUAACUACGCAUAUAUUGACGCUGAGGCACGAAAGCGUGGGGAUCAAACAGGAUUAGAUACCCUGGUAGUCCACGCCCUAAACGAUGGAUACUCGACAUACGCGAUACACUGUGUGUGUCUGAGCGAAAGCAUUAAGUAUCCCACCUGGGAAGUACGGCCGCAAGGUUG
rnacentral:rRNA from 1 species